rnacentral:rRNA from 1 species
AUUGAACGCUGGCGGCAUGCCUUACACAUGCAAGUCGAACGGCAGCGCGGACUUCGGUCUGGCGGCGAGUGGCGAACGGGUGAGUAAUGCAUCGGAACGUGCCUUUCAGUGGGGGAUGACGUAGCGAAAGUUACGCUAAUACCGCAUAUUCUCUCCGGAGGAAAGCAGGGGAUCGCAAGACCUUGCGCUGAUAGAGCGGCCGAUGUCGGAUUAGCUAGUUGGUGAGGUAAAGGCUCACCAAGGCGACGAUCCGUAGCGGGUCUGAGAGGAUGAUCCGCCACACUGGGACUGAGACACGGCCCAGACUCCUACGGGAGGCAGCAGUGGGGAAUUUUGGACAAUGGGGGCAACCCUGAUCCAGCCAUGCCGCGUGAGUGAAGAAGGCCUUCGGGUUGUAAAGCUCUUUCGGCCGGGAAGAAAUCGUGUGGGCUAAUAUCCUGCAUGGAUGACGGUACCGGAAUAAGAAGCACCGGCUAACUACGUGCCAGCCGCCGCGGUAA